UGCCUAUUCCGUGGUGAUUUGGUCGACCGGCUUGCAACCACGUUAAACAAGUAGCUAAAGGGUCGGGUUCUUGUAUAG
rnacentral:ncRNA from 2 species